GCUGUGAUGAAACACAAGAAUGCCAUCUGACAUUACUUCCCAUGUGGAAAACCAGAGGCUGUUUCUGAGCCU
rnacentral:snoRNA from 1 species